UACGGAGGGAGCUAGCGUUGUUCGGAAUCACUGGGCGUAAAGCGCACGUAGGCGGCUUUUUAAGUCAGGGGUGAAAUCCUGGAGCUCAACUCCAGAACUGCCUUUGAUACUGGGAAGCUUGAGUCCGGGAGAGGUGAGUGGAACUCCGAGUGUAGAGGUGAAAUUCGUAGAUAUUCGGAAGAACACCAGUGGCGAAGGCGGCUCACUGGCCCGGUACUGACGCUGAGGUGCGAAAGCGUGGGGAGCAAACAGG
rnacentral:rRNA from 1 species